rnacentral:rRNA from 1 species
CACUGACAUUAGAUACCCCGGUAGUCCAGGGUGUAAACGCUGCAGACUUGGUGUUGGGAACCCUUCGGGGGUGCUCAGUGCCGGAGAGAAGUUGUUAAGUCUGCUACUUGGGGAGUACGUCCGCAAGGAUGAAACUUAAAGGAAUUGGCGGGGGAGCACCGCAACGGGAGGAGCGUGCGGUUUAAUUGGAUUCAACACCGGAAACUCACCAGGGAAGACUGUUACAUGAAGGCCGAGAUGAAGACUCUGCUAGAUUUUUCAG